UUCGCCCUUAGAGUUUGAUCAUGGCUCAGGAUGAACGCUGGCGGCGUGCUUAACACAUGCAAGUCGAACGAACCUUCGGGUUAGUGGCGGACGGGUGAGUAACGCGUGAGAAUCUGCCCUCAGGAGGGGGAUAACGGCUGGAAACGGCCGCUAAUACCCCAUAUGCCGCGAGGUGAAAUGAAUUUCGCCUGAGGAUGAGCUCGCGUCUGAUCAGCUAGUUGGUGGGGUAAGAGCCUACCAAGGCAUCGAUCAGUAGCUGGUCUGAGAGGAUGAUCAGCCACACUGGGACUGAGACACGGCCCAGACUCCUACGGGAGGCAGCAGUGGGGAAUUUUCCGCAAUGGGCGAAAGCCUGACGGAGCAACGCCGCGUGAGGGAUGAAGGCCUCUGGGCUGUAAACCUCUUUUAUCAAGGAAGAAGAUCUGACGGUACUUGAUGAAUAAGCCACGGCUAAUUCCGUGCCAGCAGCCGCGGUAAUACGGGAGUGGCAAGCGUUAUCCGGAAUUAUUGGGCGUAAAGCGUCCGCAGGCGGUCUUAUAAGUCUGCUGUUAAAGCGUGGAGCUUAACUCCAUUUCGGCAGUGGAAACUGUAAGACUAGAGUGUGGUAGGGGCAGAGGGAAUUCCCGGUGUAGCGGUGAAAUGCGUAGAUAUCGGGAAGAACACCAGUGGCGAAGGCGCUCUGCUGGGCCAUAACUGACGCUCAUGGACGAAAGCCAGGGGAGCGAAAGGGAUUAGAUACCCCUGUAGUCCUGGCCGUAAACGAUGAACACUAGGUGUCGGGGGAAUCGACCCCUCCGGUGUCGUAGCCAACGCGUUAAGUGUUCCGCCUGGGGAGUACGCACGCAAGUGUGAAACUCAAAGGAAUUGACGGGGGCCCGCACAAGCGGUGGAGUAUGUGGUUUAAUUUCGAUGCAACGCGAAGAACCUUACCAGGGUUUGACAUCCUGCGAAUCUCUUGGAAACGAGAGAGUGCCUUCGGGAACGCAGUGACAGGUGGUGCAUGGCUGUCGUCAGCUCGUGUCGUGAGAAUGUUGGGUUAAGUCCCGCAACGAGCGCAACCCACGUCGUUAGUUGCCAGCAUUUAGUUGGGCACUCUAGCGAGACCGCCGGUGAUAAACCGGAGGAAGGUGUGGAUGACGUCAAGUCAUCAUGCCCCUUACAUCCUGGGCUACACACGUACUACAAUGCUACGGACAAAGGGCAGCAAACUCGCGAGAGCUAGCAAAUCCCAUAAACCGUGGCUCAGUUCAGAUCGUAGGCUGCAACUCGCCUACGUGAAGGAGGAAUCGCUAGUAAUCGCAGGUCAGCAUACUGCGGUGAAUACGUUCCCGGGCCUUGUACACACCGCCCGUCACACCAUGGAAGUUGGCCACGCCCGAAGCCGUUACUCCAACCCUUGUGGAGGAGGAUGUCGAAGGUGGGGCUGAUGACUGGGGUGAAGUCGUAACAAGGUAGCCGUA
rnacentral:rRNA from 1 species